AUUGAACGCUGGCGGCAUGCCUUACACAUGCAAGUCGAACGGUAACGGGCCUUCGGGUGCCGACGAGUGGCGAACGGGUGAGUAAUACAUCGGAACGUGCCCGAUCGUGGGGGAUAACGAGGCGAAAGCUUUGCUAAUACCGCAUACGAUCUACGGAUGAAAGCAGGGGACCGCAAGGCCUUGCGCGGACGGAGCGGCCGAUGGCAGAUUAGGUAGUUGGUGGGAUAAAAACUUUCCAAGCCGACGAUCUGUAGCUGGUCUGAGAGGAUGAUCAGCCACACUGGGACUGAGACACGGCCCAGACUCCUACGGGAGGCAGCAGUGGGGAAUUUUGGACAAUGGGCGCAAGCCUGAUCCAGCCAUGCCGCGUGCAGGAUGAAGGCCUUCGGGUUGUAAACUGCUUUUGUACGGAACGAAAAGCCUUCUUUUAAUACAGGAGGGUCAUGACGGUACCGUAAGAAUAAGCACCGGCUAACUACGUG
rnacentral:rRNA from 1 species